UUUUCCUGACUGCAACUCUCUUCAUUCUGCCAUCCUUUUCCAACUCCCUGAUGGUCCUGCAGGUCCCAGGUGCCCCCUGGACAGUGGGUCUGAUGGCGUUACUGAUGGUACUGCUCAAACCUGUGGUCCAGGGCAGGGCCACUCCAGAAAUCUUCAAAUGAAAAUGACAAGGCUGGAAAUCUGUUUUCGGAAGACUGUGAAGUCAGUUGGAGAGAGCAGGAACCAGAGGCAGAGAGAUGAGGCUGUUAAUCAGUGGCUGAUAGACAAGAUUUCUUUUAAAUGUGCUACAAACUGUCCAUCCGAGGCUGAACGUCUCCCCCUCCAAGAAGGGGCCCCUGCAGCACCACAACCUGCUUGUCUGCCACAUGACAGAUUUCCACCCAGGCAGCAUUCAAGUCCGAUGGUUCCUGAAUGGACAGGA